rnacentral:lncRNA from 1 species
AGGCUGGUGGGGGCGGUGUUGCUCGGGGCUGCGAUGCCCCUUAGGUUGCGGGCAACCAGAGGCCUCACUCGUGGGCAGGAAGCAAGGGCGGACCCCGAGAGAUGACUGAUUGUGGGGGUGGGGACCGUCUGCUCCUCCUAAUGGCUGGGGACCGUGCACGUCUGCGCGGGCCGGACCUGCUCUUCUCGGGAACUUGCGCGGGAGGAGGCCCGGAGCUGCGCCGCUUUACCCUCUGCUCCCCGGUGCCUAAAACGCACACGCAUCAAAGUCACAGGACGAGUUAGAGGAGAAAGGCAGAGGGAGAUUUGAAACACAGAGGAGGUGAUGAGAAGACACAGCAGAAGAUAUCUGAAGACUGGAAAGAAUGCUGCAACCAACAGGAGAAGGAAAAGACAGAAAUGUGUUUUCCAUUUGGAGCAUCCAGAGGGAGCACAACCAUAUCAACACCUUGAUUUUGAUCCAGUGACAUUGAUUUUGGACUUGUGGCCUCCAGAACUUUUAGAGAAUAAAUUUGCAUUGUUUUAAGCCAACAGGUUGGUGGAAAUUUUUUACAGCAGCCACAGGAAGCAAACACAGACUCCUAACUGGUGCUUAGUCCUAGAAUAUCAGUUUCUGUUCCACUUCUGGAUCUCAUAAUUGCAUCUCAGACAUCAACACUGACUUCAUAUUCUUAAUGCACCAAUUCUACCAUUUCUUCAGGCUGCAAACAGAGAAAAACUUAUUUAAGCAUUCCAGAAUUGACCCAAUAGAAGACUCUCCAGAAAAGACUGCAUGGUCUCUGAAGCAGCAUGAUCAGCAUGACUGGCUGCAUCUGGGCUCCACCGUUUGCCACUUCAGACAGGUCCUUAGCCUCUUAGAGGUUCAUUUUCCUUGCUGUAGCCCGGAGUAAGAAUGUUUAGCCUACAAGAUUUAUUUUGAGGCAUCAAUGAAUCACUAUGUGAGCCUCACACAGUGUCUGGCACUGAUAUUACAAAAUAUGGUUGAUCUUGCCAUCCUUGUUAUUGUCCUGGUGGGGAUUCCUCUCUGUUGAAGAUACGGAGCCUCUAAAAAUGAGUGGCAGAGGCUCCCAGCUCAGGAUCCUUGUCCAGGUCCUAAAGAUCCUCCACUCUGCUUGUCACUCUGUUCAUUAUGUUUGCAUGGCCACCACGGUCAACACUACUGCGGCCUACCUCAAGUUCUCAUGCCUCACUCUCUGAGCUCAUGAGGACACAAGGAUCCUUUGGCAACACAUUAACUACACUCUGUGGCCAUCCCUUGACUUCUGAGAGGAUGUUUCCCUCCUCUCAAUCAAAAGCUCUCUUCCCUCCUGGGCAAGAUCCUUGCAUGCACCCAGCACCCUCACACCUGGUGCCCUCACACCCAGCACUCUCACACGUGGUGCCCUCACACCCAGCACCCUCACACCCAGCACCCUCACACCUGGUGCCCUCACACCCAGCACCCUCACACCUGGUGCCCUCACACCCAGCACCCUCACACCUGGUGCCCUCGCACCCAGCACCCUCACACCUGGUGCCCUCGCACCCAGCACCCUCACACCUGGUGCCCUCGCAACCAGCACCUUCAGAGGAAGAAAUAACAGAGGCUGCAGGCGAGAGAGUUACAAGGAAGGAGGAGCAGGAAGACACGAGAAAAAUUCAGAUAAACUCAACAUCUCCAGCCUGGGGGAAACGUGAGAGGGUGGUAUGAAGAUACACACGAUGCAUGUUGCUUAGUGAAAGCAGCCAGUCGGAAAAGGCUACGUAGUGAAUGACCCCAACUAUGACAUUCUGAAAAAGGCAAAACUAUGGAGACAGGAUAAAGAUCAGUGGUUGCCAGUGAGGCAGGAGAAUAGGGUCUGGGGGCAGGGAGCCUAAGGCUGAUUCAUGCUGACUUCAUGAACGGAAUCAAAAGGAAAACCCUAAAUUUCCAUGCCCACGUAACAAAAGGAUCAGAGGCUACUCCCUUUGCAACUCCCCCCAACUUUCUGUGUUGCAGAUGAAAAAUGGAAAGUGCCUCGGAUUGGUCCCCUCCUGCAACCAGUCAGACAUCUGCAUAGAGCGUAACUUUGUAACUUCACUUCAGCCUCUGCUUGGUCACCUUCCACAACCAAUCAGACUGGUCAUGGGCCACUAUUUCAUAGGGUGUAAACCAAGUGACCAAUGGGAAACAUCUAGAGGGUAUUUAAACCCCAGAAAAUUCUGCGACCAGUGCUUUUGAGCCUUGCUUGGGCCUGCUCCCACUCUGUGAAGUGCAUUUUUGUUUCAAUACAGCUAUGCUUUUGUUGCUUC